rnacentral:rRNA from 1 species
GCGUGCUUAACACAUGCAAGUCGAUCGGUGAACUUGGGAGCUUGCUCCUGGGGGAUCAGUGGCGAACGGGUGAGUAACACGUGAGCAAUCUGCCCUUGACUCUGGGAUAAGCGUUGGAAACGACGUCUAAUACCGGAUACGACCAUCCCCGGCAUCGGGAGGUGGUGGAAAGAAUUUUGGUCAAGGAUGAGCUCGCGGCCUAUCAGCUUGUUGGUGAGGUAAUGGCUCACCAAGGCGACGACGGGUAGCCGGCCUGAGAGGGUGACCGGCCACACUGGGACUGAGACACGGCCCAGACUCCUACGGGAGGCAGCAGUGGGGAAUAUUGCACAAUGGGCGCAAGCCUGAUGCAGCAACGCCGCGUGAGGGACGACGGCCUUCGGGUUGUAAACCUCUUUUAGCAGGGAAGAAGCGAAAGUGACGGUACCUGCAGAAAAAGCACCGGCUAACUACGUGCCAGCAGCCGCGGUAAUACGUAGGGUGCAAGCGUUGUCCGGAAUUAUUGGGCGUAAAGAGCUCGUAGGCGGUUUGUCGCGUCUGCUGUGAAAUCCCGAGGCUCAACCUCGGGCCUGCAGUGGGUACGGGCAGACUAGAGUGCGGUAGGGGAGAUUGGAAUUCCUGGUGUAGCGGUGGAAUGCGCAGAUAUCAGGAGGAACACCGAUGGCGAAGGCAGAUCUCUGGGCCGUAACUGACGCUGAGGAGCGAAAGCGUGGGGAGCGAACAGGAUUAGAUACCCUGGUAGUCCACGCCGUAAACGUUGGG